rnacentral:sRNA from 1 species
GCGACAUCAGCGCAGAGAUCCAGCAGCGACAGGAGGAGCUGGACGCCAUGACGCAGGCGCUGCAGGAGCAGGAUAGUGCCUUUGGCGCGGUCCACGCGCAGAUGCACGCGGCCGUCGGCCAGCUGGGCCGCGCGCGUGCUGAGACCGAGGAGCUGAUCCGCGAGCGCGUGCGCCAGGUGGUAGCUCACGUGCGGGCUCAGGAGCGCGAGCUGCUGGAGGCGGUGGAUGCGCGAUACCAGCGCGACUACGAGGAGAUGGCCAGUCGGCUGGGCCGCCUGGAUGCUGUGCUGCAGCGCAUCCGCACGGGCAGCGCGCUGGUGCAGAGGAUGAAGUGCUACGCCUCGGACCAGGAGGUGCUGGACAUGCACGGUUUCCUGCGCCAGGCGCUCUGCCGCCUGCGCCAGGAGGAGCCCCAGAGCCUGCAAGCCGCCGUGCGCACGGACGGCUUCGACGAGUUCAAGAUGCAGCUGUAUCCAAGAAAGCCAGCCCAGAGGCUGCCAGCACUCCCAGGGACCCUAUUGACGUUGACCUGCCCGAGGAGGCAGAGAGAGUGAAGGCUCAGGCUCAGGCCCUGGGGCUGGCUGAAGCCCAGCCUAUGGCUGUGGUACAGUCAGUGCCCGGGGCACACCCCGUGCCAGUGUACGCCUUCUCCAUCAAAGGCCCUUCCUAUGGAGA